CGGCCCAUCUGGCCAUCCGGUUAGCAAGACCAACAAAUGCACACUGAUACGUUCCCUUCGAACCCACCUCCCAUGGCCACCGUCGACUGCCCCCUGCCCUCUCCCGCGGACCUCGACGACAACGGAUUCCCGGCUCUACCCUCCUCCCCCGCUGCCUGUAGCAGCGGCUUCGCGGAGGACUUCUACCGCAGCGGCACCGACUGGUCCUCCUUACGCGCCCCUCCGCCGCUGGGGCCGCCCAGAAGGGCACCCGGUGUGAAGGAGAGAGGAGGCGGCUCGGCCGUGCAGAGCAGCCUCUUCCAGGCGUGGGGGAUCGAGAAGCCGCGGCGGGACGGGCGUGGGGCUGGGGAUUCAUCGCUUGUGCAGAGGAGCCUCUUCCAGGCAUGGGGGAUCGAGAGACCGCAGAGGGAGGGUCUCGGGGCUGGAGAUUCCUCCCCCUCCUCCUCCCUUUCCGGUUCUUUGUUGGCAAGGAAGCGGAGGCGAGGAAGCACCGAGGAGGAGCGGGUGGCGGCCAAGAAGCCCCUCGCGUGCCCCUUCUACAAGAAGAUUCCUGGCACACCAUUCACGGUGGAUGCAUUUCGGUAUGGACAAGUUGAGGGGUGCUCGGCCUAUUUCCUUAGCCACUUUCAUCAUGACCAUUACGGUGGAUUAACCAAGAAAUGGUGCCAUGGCCCCAUCUAUUGUUCUGCACUCACUGCACGCCUAGUGAAGAUGUGCUUGUCAGUAAAUUCCGACUAUAUCUGUCCUUUGGAGCUUGAUACCGAGUAUGUCAUAGAGGGAGUGACAGUUACCUUGCUGGAGGCCAACCAUUGCCCUGGUGCAGCUCUAAUCCACUUCCGACUAAGUGAUGGAAAGACCUGUCUCCACACUGGGGAUUUUAGAGCAUCAAAAACUAUGCAAUCGCAUCCACUUCUCCAGAGAGGCCGAGUAAAUUUGGUUUACCUGGACACAACAUAUUGCAAUCCCAAGUACAAGUUCCCACCCCAGGAGGAUGUUAUUGAUUUUGUUGUGAGAACCACUCGAAGAUAUCUAAAGAAACAACCAAAAACCCUCAUUGUUGUUGGGGCAUAUAGCAUUGGGAAAGAGAAUGUGUAUCUAGCAAUUUCCCAAGCUUUAGAGGCCCAUAUAUACACUGAUGCAUCGAGAAGGCGGAUUCUCUACUCAUUUGGCUGGCCAGAUUUGUCCAAAAGGCUAUGUUCAUGCAAUCAAAGUUCAUCACUUCAUGUUCUGCCCCUUGGAUCUAUAAAUCAUGAGAACUUGAAGAAGUACUUGGAGACUCUUAAUGGAAGAUUCCUAGCUGUGCUGGCUUUUCGGCCUACAGGUGUGCCUUAUAGCGAGCAUUCAAGUUUCACUGAGCUUAGGGAUUUUGUGAUGUUUCUGAAACCUCAAAAGAUAAUUCCUACUGUUAAUGUUGGCAAUGCCACAAGCCGAGAUAAAAUGCAAGCACAUUUCCGGGAAUGGCUGAAGAGCCCGUGAUAAAUAUAUCCUGAUCAUGUUUUUUUUUCUAUAUCGGCGUCAACUCGACUCCACUCAAUGAGGUACCGCUGUAUACCAUCCUUACACUCACAGUUCACUAUAACGCCUCUUUUCUUCACUUUAUUUGUUGGAGUUCAACGAAUGUUGAUUCUUUUAUGCCAGUGACACAGUCAUGGUACGGAAAAGAAGUGGAUAUAUUUUUAAAGGUUGGUUUGCUUGGUACUAAAAAUGCUAUGUUUAGAGUACCACUUUUCCCAACAUUAUUCCGAGAUUCGUUUUGUGGAACUUAUCUCAUUUGAGAGGUAAAUGUGUUGUUUCUCGCUUGUCUGGCAUUUCUUUGCAAGGGAACUGUAAGAUGAAGAAAUAUUGAUUUGAAUUACUGUUUAUCAAAACCCAUUAUCAGCAACACAUUUGUUGUCUCCCCAUGUUCAAUCGAAAUACAAGAUUUCACUGGCUAGAGCAGUGGGAUUUCCUAGUUGCGAUUGGGAGUCGGUAUGCUGCCUUCAGAAAUAUGUGGAAGAAAGUGGUACACGACCCAGCUUCUGAAUUCUAAUUAGACGAUAAGGUCUAUAGCCUAACACCUGCUGGGCUGCUAGUGUCACAGCUUCUAUUGGCAACAUAAGCACAAAUUUCGGCUACUGUAACGAUUAAACUAUUUGCUCUUAUUCAUCCCAAAUGAUUUUUCUACAAGGUGGUAGAGUCAUGAAAUGACGAAUGGUAAAUAGUGCAUAUGUUGGGUGAGAUUUCCGCUGCUCACAAGAAUAAGCUUAAUGCUAUUGCAUUACCAUCAUAGUUAUGGGCAAUCAUCUAAAUAUUACCAUCAUUAUCUAAAAAAAUCUAAAUAUUACCAUAGCCUGCUAAGCCUAGAAAAUAUUUGGUUAGUCCCACAUCUAAGUAUCCUCAAAAUGCCUUGCUGUUGCUGAUCAACAGGAACCAUGUUAAACCUUCCAUACCUCGGUACUGUACUAGGUCUCAUGCAGUAGCCCAUGGUGGAUUUGUAUGCACGUGUCUGAUCAUUGGCGUUAUUUGGCAGUCUCCAUGCCAGUACUACCUUCGUGAUGUUAGCUCACAUACAUGUAUGGGAUGGAUAGCUUGAUCUGCUCCCAUUGUAGGGGGCGAUGCUAAAGGUAAAACACAAUCGAUAGCUUGAUCUACUCGCUGAUGAAAUUCACGUGGGCUAGGUGGAUCAAACACAAUCGGCUGAUUAAGGGAGGACGACGAUAGAAGAAUUUAGUGGAUGCGCGAUGACGAUGAUGCAAACGUUCAGACAGGGGAUCGGGAAUUUUCUGUUGUAGCAUUCGUGCAAACCGUCGUGAAUCCAGUCAAUACAGCACGUGUACAAAUAUCAAAGCUGCAGGUUUCACUGUGCA